UUAGUUAAAGGCAGUCCCAUUCCGGACAGAGCAACAUUCAGUACCGGAAAAUAAAAAAACCGACCUCACCAGUCGGUUUUUUUAU
rnacentral:antisense_RNA from 1 species